rnacentral:rRNA from 1 species
UACGUAGGGGGCAAGCGUUGUCCGGAAUCAUUGGGCGUAAAAGAGCGUGUAGGCGGCCAGAUAAGUCCGCUGUGAAAACUCGAGGCUCAACUUCGAGCUGUCGGUGGAAACUAUUUGGCUAGAGUCCGGAAGAGGAGAGUGGAAUUCCUGGUGUAGCGGUGAAAUGCGUAGAUAUCAGGAGGAACACCGGUGGCGAAGGCGGUUCUCUGGGCAUUACCUGACGCUGAGGAGCGAAAAGUGUGGGGAGGCGAAACAGG